UUAGUUGAAGUCAAAGGACGAGUUGUUGUUAACGAUUUAUUUAGAAAUUAAAGAUUUUCUCGGCUAAG
rnacentral:tRNA from 1 species